AUAACUUUUAAUAAUAGAUCUCUUGGUUCUAGUAUUAAUAAAGAACGCAGCGAAAUGCAAUAAGUAGUGUAAAUUGUAGAAUUUAGUGAAUUAUUAAAUCUUUAAACGCACAUUGCGCCCCUUAGUAUUCUAUAGGGUAUACCUGUUUAAGCGUUAUUUGUACCCUUAAGCUCUGCUUAGUGUUAGGUGUUUAUUCUACUUAGGACUUGCCUUAAAACAAUUAGUAGCUAGUAUAUUAGCCUAGAGCGCAGCACAUUUUACGCCUCUUGUUAUAGUUGUUAGUAUCUAUUAAGACACUUUUUAAGCUCUUAACCUUAGAUUAGGUAGGGAUACCUACUAAACUUAAGCAUAUUAAUAAGCGGAGGAAAAGAAACUAAUAGGGAUUGCCCUAGUAACGGCAAGUGAAGCGGCAAUAGCUUAAAUUUAAAAUCUAGCUCUUUUAGGGUCUAAGUUGUAAUUUGCAGAGGGCGCUUUAGCGUUAGCAGCAGUCUAAGUUCCUUAGAACAGGACGUUACAGAGGGUAAGAAUCCUAUACGUGGUCGCUGGCCUUCGCUAUGUAAAGCCCCUUUAACAAGUUAAGUUGUUUAGGAAUGCAGCUCUAAAUAGGAGGUAAAUUUCUUCUAAAGCUAAAUACUAGCUAGAGACUAAUAGCGCACAAGUAGAGUGAUUAAAAGAUAAAAAGCACUUUAGAAAGAGAGUUAAAUAGCACGUGAAAUUGUUGAAAGGGAAGCGCUUGUAGCUAGACUUGCCUAUAGUUGCUUAUCUAGGCUUUUGUCUAGUGCACUCUUGUAUAGGUAGGCUAGCAUUAGUUUAGGUGGUUUAGAUAAAGGUCUCUGUCACGUACCUCCCUUUAGGGAGGCCUUAUAGGGGAGACAACAUGCAACCAGCCUAGACUAAGGUCCGCGUAUCUGCUAGGAUGCUAGCGUAAUAGCUAUAAGCGGCCUAUCUUAAAAUAUAGACUAAGGAGUCUAACAUCUAUGUAAGUGUUUAGGUGUUAAGCCUAGACGCGUAAUAAAAGUGAAUAGAGGUAGGAACCCUUUUAGGGUGCACUAUUAACUAAUCCUAAUAUCUUUAGAAGGAUUUAAGUAAGAGCAUAGCUAUUAGGACCUAAAAGAUGGUAAACUAUGCUUAAAUAGGGUGAAGCUAGAGGAAACUCUAGUAGAGGCUCGCAGCAGUUCUAACGUGCAAAUUGAUUAUUAAAUUUAGGUAUAGGGGCGAAAGACUAAUUAAACUAUCUAGUAGCUAGUUCCUACUAAAGUUUCCCUUAGGAUAGUAGUAACGUAUUUAGUUUUAUAAGGUAAAGCGAAUAAUUAGAGGCCUAGGGGUUAAAAUAACCUUUACCUAUUCUUAAACUUUAAAUAUGUAAGAAGUCCUUGUUACUUAAUUAAACGUGGACACUUAAAUGUACUAUUACUAGUAGGCUAUUUUUAGUAAGCAGAACUAGUAAUGCGGGAUAAACUAAACGUAGGGUUAAGGUGCUAGAAUAUACGCUUAUUAGACACUACAAAAGGUGUUAGUUUAUCUAGACAGCAGGAUAGUAGCUAUAGAAGUUAGAAUCUACUAAGGAGUGUGUAAUAACUCACCUGCUAAAUAAACUAGCCCUAAAAAUAGAUGGCGCUUAAGCGUGUUACCUAUACCCCGCCGCCAGGGCAAGAUUUAAGCCCUAGCAAGUAGGCAGGCGUGGAGGCUUGUAACAAAGCCUUAGGGGUAACCCUAGGUAGAAUGGCCUCUAGUGCAGAUCUUGGUAGUAGUAGUAAAUACUUAAAUAAGAACUUUAAGGACUAAAGUAGGGAAAGGUUCUAUAUAAAUAGUAGUUAGACAUAGGUUAGUUAAUCCUAAGAGAUAGGGUAAUUCUAUUUUAAUGUUAGUGCUUACGCUGCGCCCUUAAAAGGGAAGCUAGUUAAUAUUCUAGCACCUAGAUGUAGAUUCUCCGCGGCAACGCAACUAAGAGCGGAGACCUUGGCAGGAGCCCUAAGAAGAGUUCUCUUUUCUUCUUAACAGUCUGUUACCCUAAAAUUGGUUUGUCUAGAGCUAGGGUUUAAUAGCUAGAAGAGCGCUGCACUUUUGCGGCGUUUAGUGCGCUCCUAACAAGCCUUAAAAAUCUGCUUAAAGAAAUAGUUUUUACGCUAGGUUAUACUUAUAACUAUAGUAGGUCUCUAAGGUAAAAAGCCUCUAGUUAAUAGAACAAUAUAGAUAAGGGAAGUUAGCAAAAUAGAUCUAUAACUUUAGGAAAAGGAUUAGCUCUAAGGGUUAGGUACGUUGGGCCUUAGAGAGAAGCCUCUAGCGUAGAAGGGCACUAACCGCAAGGUAGGCGCCUCUUAGCGCUAGGGUGCAGACACCCUUAGCAGGUUUUAGCCGUCUAGCGUAUAUUUAACAACUAACUUAGAACUAGUAUAGAUAAGGGGAAUCUAACUAUCUAAUUAAAAUAUAGCAUUGUAAUAGCUAGAAAGUAGUAUUAACGUAAUAUAAUUUCUGCCUAGUGCUCUAAAUGUUAAAGCGAAGAGAUUUAACUAAGCGCGGGUAAAUAGUAGGAGUAACUAUAACUCUCUUAAGGUAGCUAAAUGCCUUGUUAUCUAAUUAGUAACGCGCAUAAAUAGAUUAAUAAGAUUCCUACUAUCCCUAUCUACUAUCUAGUGAAACUAUAGCUAAGGGAACAGGCUUGGCUAAAUUAGCAGGGAAAGAAGACCCUAUUAAGCUUGACUCUAGUUUAACAUUAUAAAAAGAUAUAACAGGUGUAGAAUAGGUAGGAGCUUUAGCGCUAGUAAAAUACUACUACCCUUAUUGUUUUUUUACUUAUUUAAUAAAGUAGAGCUAGGCCUUACUACCUAACUUCUAGCGUUUAAGGUCCUUUAUAGGCUAAUCUAGGUUAAAGAUAUUAUUAGGUAGGGAGUUUAGCUAGGGCGGUAUAUCUAUUAAACUAUAACGCAGGUGUCCUAAGGGUGACUUAUAGAGAAUAGAAAUCUCUAGUAGAGUAAAAGGGUAAAAGUCCCCUUAAUUUUAAUUUUUAGUGUAAAUACAAACCAUAAAAGUAUAGCCUAUUAAUCCUUUAGUCCCUUAAAAUUUAAGGCUAGAGGUGCUAGAAAAGUUACCACAGGGAUAACUAGCUUGUGGCAGCCAAGCGUUUAUAGCGACGUUGCUUUUUAAUCCUUUAAUAUUAGCUCUUCCUAUUAUACUAAAGCAGAAUUUAGUAAGCGUUAGAUUGUUCACCUACUAAUAGGGAACGUAAGCUAGGUUUAGACCAUUGUAAGAUAGGUUAGUUUUACCCUACUAAUAACCUUGCCCUAAUAGUAAUACUACUUAGUACGAGAGGAACCGCGGUUUUAGAUAAUUAGUUUUUGCGGCUAUCUAACUAGGUAUUGCCGCGAAGCUACUAUCUGCUAGAUUAUAGCUAAACGCCUCUAAGUUAGAAUCUAUGCUAGAAUAGGGUGAUUUCCACCUACACUAGUUAGAUACAAAUAGGCCUUUGGCCCAGAACCUUACUAGAUUAGCGUUAGCAGCCCUAUUAAAGUUAGGGUUAUUAGCUAGUGUAUUGUAAUUGUACAGUGCGCAGGAUUAAAUCCUUUGCAGAUAACUUAGUUGUCUAGCUA
rnacentral:rRNA from 2 species